rnacentral:rRNA from 1 species
UUCUGGCUCAGAACGAACGCUGGCGGCGCGUUUAAGCAUGCAAGUCGAGCGGCAAGGGCCUCGGGCCCCUAGAGCGGCGGACGGGUGAGUAACACGUGGACAAUCUGCCCCCCGGCCCGGGAUAGCCCAGGGAAACCUGGAUUAAUACCGGAUGAGACGGGACCCGCGAUGGCGGGACCCGGGAAAGGCGCUGCGGCGCCGCCGGGGGAUGAGUCUGCGUCCCAUUAGCUAGACGGCGGGGUAACGGCCCACCGUGGCGACGAUGGGUAGCCGGCCUGAGAGGGUGGACGGCCACAUUGGAACUGAGACACGGUCCAGACUCCUACGGGAGGCAGCAGCUAAGAAUCUUCCGCAAUGGGCGAAAGCCUGACGGAGCGACGCCGCGUGAGUGAAGAAGGUUUUUUCCGGAUCGUAAAACUCUGUUGUCAGAGAAGAACAAGUUGGAGAGUAACUGCUCCAGCCUUGACGGUAUCUGACCAGAAAGCCACGGCUAACUACGUGCCAGCAGCCGC